CCCUUAGAUGUUCUGGGCCGCACGCGCGCUACACUGACAGAGCCAGCGAGUUAUUUCACCUUGGCCGGAAGGCUCCGGGUAAUCUUGUGAAACUCUGAUCGUGCUUUGGGAUCGAGCAUUGCAAUUAUUGCUCGUGAACGAGGAAUACCUAGUAAGCGCAAGUCAUCAGCUUGCGUUGAUUACGUCCCUGCCCUUUGUACACACCGCCCGUCGCUCCUACCGAUUGAAUGCUCAGGUGAGCCAUUCGGACUUUCAUCAUGCUGGUUUCCAGUUUUGAUGAAGGAAAGUCUUGCGAACCUUAUCAUUUAGAGGAAGGAGAAGUCGUAACA
rnacentral:rRNA from 1 species